GGUGGGGUUUACAGAUCGAACAUUGGUUUUGAAAAGUGGACCGAACUUAAGUCGUGUUCGCUGCUCCACGCACUAAUUAGUGUCUCUACUUCACCCUCAACAAAUCCUCAGCCCUUUUUGACGCGAGACAUUGUAUGCACUAUUUACAACCAUAGUAUAAACCAUGCCAAAAGAUUUUCCGGCUGAGAUUUUUCAAACUCCCCUCGUUCAGCGAUUUUGCUAACCCAAAACCAGAAGUCUCACCCAUCCGACACAGAUAGGGGGCUAGACCCUCACUCCGCAGUAUAAGGUUUUGUUUAUUUUUUUUUAUUUUUAUUUAUUUACAUUUCUUCUCUCCUUUUUCUUCUCUUCUUCUUUCCGCACUCACCUUAUUAUUCUACACAACCCCGCUCUCCAGGAAUGUCAAAGCGUCCUUUGUUUAACACAGGUCCCAAAAAAACAGGUUAUAAGCUGGUGCCUUGCACUCGUCUCACCUGACGCAACAAGAAACAAUUAGCCACAAACCCAUGAAGAACAAAUGAAAAUAAGAUGAUUGUACUCAUGGCACCAGUCUCUCCGGAUUGGAAUGUGGCGAAAGAAAAAUCCAAACUAUCUUCUAUGCUAGACGUUCUAGUGAUGUAGAAUAAUGUGUCUGUCAACAUAGCCACAUCGACAUCGUCACCUGCUGGUUGGUUGGUUGACAUGAGGAGAGCAAAAGCAAGAAAUGAAAUCCUAUGAUGAUUGACGGGCCGUUAUUACCACCCCGAUUAUUUGCCA
rnacentral:sRNA from 1 species